UGACUAGAGCCAGUCCAGCUCAGAAAGGACUUGUCUUAAUUCAUGAGAUGAAUUUAAGACAACACCUGUUAAUUCUUGUCACCUGCCAUUUUCGUUUUAGGACAUUGGUCAAAUGUUGACCCAUGGACUUUGGAUUGAAGGCCACUUGGCAAGAGAGUUAGAUGUGUGCCCUAGAUGCCAGAUCGGCUGACACAUUCCCAUAC
rnacentral:lncRNA from 1 species